rnacentral:rRNA from 1 species
CGAUUCUGGCUCAGGAUGAACGCUAGCGACAGGCUUAACACAUGCAAGUCGAGGGGCAUCACGGGAGUAGCAAUACGACUGGUGGCGACCGGCGCACGGGUGAGUAACGCGUAUGCAACCUACCUAUCAGAGGGGAAUAACCCGGCGAAAGUCGGACUAAUACCGCAUAAAACAGGGGCACCGCAUGGUGAUAUUUGUUAAAGAAAUUCGCUGAUAGAUGGGCAUGCGUUCCAUUAGGUAGUUGGUGAGGUAACGGCUCACCAAGCCGACGAUGGAUAGGGGAACUGAGAGGUUGGUCCCCCACACUGGUACUGAGACACGGACCAGACUCCUACGGGAGGCAGCAGUGAGGAAUAUUGGUCAAUGGGCGGGAGCCUGAACCAGCCAAGUCGCGUGAAGGAAAAGAAGGAUCUAUGGUUCGUAAACUUCUUUUGCAGGGGAAUAAAGUGCAGGACGUGUCCUGUUUUGUAUGUACCCUGAGAAUAAGGAUCGGCUAACUCCGUGCCAGCAGCUGC